GCCCCAGUGAAUGGCAACAUUGUGAUGGUGAUAAUGAUCCAGUCCCAAGGCACCAGGCUCUGCGCUGGGGUCCACUUAUAACAAUUCAGCAAGAAACAUGUAAUGAUACCCACUUCACAGAAGAGGAAACUGAAGUUCAGAGCGGCAGAGUGAUUCGCCCCCAAAUCCCAAAGUGGCAGAGGUGGGCUCGAGCCCAGCUUCUCUACUGUCCCAGCUAGUCCCCCAUCUAACUGGGGCAGGUGGGGUCAGACAGUGGGGGCCAGACAGUGACAGAUGUUUCGGAGGAGACCUUGACUUAACAGGCCACCUGAUGCCAAAGAAUGGCUCGUACGGACUCCAGCUUCUGGAACACACUGAACCACCACCUGCCUGAGGCCAGAUGGAUUCGCACACACGCUUCACCCCACUAGAAGCAGGCCUGGGGUCUAAGUUCCAGUACAUGUGGGAGUCGGUGAGCCCAGCACAGGUCCCAGUCCCCCAAGGUGGCAGCCUCAGAGCUCCAUUGGCCCUUGGAACCAAGCUCUGUGACCCGUGGGGUAACCAUGGUGACAAUUAGCCAAGUCCAAAUGGAAACACGGCCCACUCUGAACCUGAAAGCCACGCUGAGGACAGGGGAGUCCCCCCUGCACGGAGACAUCAGUCCAUCCAGGGCCCAGCAAACUAAGGAGGCAGCUCCAUCUACAAUUUGAUUAAACUUGGAGAGAUUAUGAAGAAGUACUGCUGGCUUCUAGAUCUUUCCCUCAUUAUGGUCAUUUUGCCUGAAUUCCUGCCAUUUGACUGAGGCUUCUAUUGCUUUCAGCCUCCCUGCUAAAUUGCUGGACCACCUAGAAAGAUAAUGGAGGCCAUUUGCUACGAGCAUCAGAACGCCCCAUACAUCCUUUCGGAGCCAUGGAGGACACAGAGACACAAACAGCCUGAAUAUCGAGCAGGUGCUGACACCUGAACGCCUGGUCCAGGUCUCAGGAGCCUGGCUGCCCCCUUCCAUCUCCCAGCACUGUUUGGCCUGGAGACCUCAUGAGGACAGGGACUUUGCCUUCUGCCACGCUGCCUCCGAGGGGGCCAGCUGAACGUCUGCUACCUGGGAGGUCUUCAUACUUAUUUGCUGAAUGGGUGAAUAAAACUGGGCUCCAUUUGAGCUUCAGUAGGAGCCUGUGAGGUGCCCAGGGCUUCUAAACUCAGCCGAGGAUGAGAUAGGCAAAGCCCUCACCCGGAUGCAAAACUUCAGGGAGUGCCAAGAAACUCAGAGACCAAGAUAAAUAGCAUUCUAAUGCAAUAUUUAAGAAAGUCAAAAUUA